CCCUUAGAUGUUCUGGGCCGCACGCAUGCUACACUGAGUGGAUCAGCGGGUCAGGUUGCGCGAAAGUGUUUCCUAAUCUUGAAAUCCGCUCGUGAUGGGGAUUGACGGUUGCAAUUUUCCGUCAUGAACGAGGAAUACCUUGUAAGCGCGGGUCAUCAUCCCGCGCUGAAUACGUCCCUGCCCUUUGUACACACCGCCCGUCGCUCCUACCGAUUGAGUGGUCCGGUGAGGCUUUGGGAUCUGAGCGGAAAGAGCGUUUCGCUGUUUCUGCUCGGAAAACUCAGUCGAACCUUAUCAUUUAGGGGAAGGAGAAGUCGUAACA
rnacentral:rRNA from 1 species